CGAAGGCGCGAAUCUCUGGCUGGCCGACGGACAGUAAGCUAAACGGUGUCCGAUGUCGUCGUCUUGUACGCGCGCGCAUCGGUGCCGGUCGGCGACGAUUUCUUCGGGCCUCUUUCCGACCCGUCUUGAAACACGGACCAAGGAGUCUAACAUGCGCGCGAGUCGCGGGGUGUCGAGCGUACUACGGUGCGUUCGUUACGUCACGAAACCCGUACAUGUCGAAGGCGUAAUGAAAGUAAAUGGGGAAGAUGGUGUUCCGAGUACACGUUCCGCGGUCACUGGUACCGCGGCCGGACACCCGCAUUCCCGGGGCGUCUCAACGGCCCGUCGCGGAUGCGGACAGUCGUCUYUCGGGUCGGCUGUCGGUCUGCGACGAACCGAGGCGCACCUAUAGCGUGCACGUUGGUACCCGAAAGAUGGUGAACUAUGCCUGGCCAGGAUGAAGUCAGGGGAAACCCUGAUGGAGGUCCGCAGCGAUUCUGACGUGCAAAUCGAUCGUCUGAGCUGGGUAUA
rnacentral:rRNA from 1 species